rnacentral:ncRNA from 1 species
CACCGCCCAUCGCUACUACCGAUUAAAUGAUUUAGUGAGGCCUUCGGGCUGGGUCUCAAAGCGACUUUCGGGUCGCCUCGAUGUGCCGGAAAGAUGACCAAACUUGAUCAUUUAGAGGAAGUAAAAGUCGUAACAAGGUUUCCGUAGGUGAACCUACGAAAG